UACGGAGGGAGCUAGCGUUAUUCGGAAUUACUGGGCGUAAAGCGCACGUAGGCGGCUUUGUAAGUUAGAGGUGAAAGCCUGGAGCUCAACUCCAGAAUUGCCUUUAAGACUGCAUCGCUUGAAUCCAGGAGAGGUGAGUGGAAUUCCGAGUGUAGAGGUGAAAUUCGUAGAUAUCUGGAAGAACACCAGUGGCGAAGGCGGCUCACUGGACUCGUAUUGACGCUGAGGUGCGAAAGCGUGGGGAGCAAACAGG
rnacentral:rRNA from 1 species